rnacentral:rRNA from 1 species
GACGAACGCUGGCGGCGUGCUUAACACAUGCAAGUCGAGCGGAAAGGCCCCUUUCGGGGGGUACUCGAGCGGCGAACGGGUGAGUAACACGUGAGCAACCUGCCCUCGACUCCGGGAUAAGCCUGGGAAACCGGGUCUAAUACCGGAUACGACUCAUCACCGCAUGGUGUGUGGGUGGAAAGUUCCCUCGCUCUUUGUGGGGGUUCGGUCGGGGAUGGGCUCGCGGCCUAUCAGCUUGUUGGUGGGGUAACGGCCUACCAAGGCGACGACGGGUAGCCGGCCUGAGAGGGCGACCGGCCACACUGGGACUGAGACACGGCCCAGACUCCUACGGGAGGCAGCAGUGGGGAAUAUUGCGCAAUGGGCGGAAGCCUGACGCAGCGACGCCGCGUGAGGGAUGAAGGCCUUCGGGUUGUAAACCUCUUUCAGCACCGACGAAGUUUGGACGGUAGGUGCAGAAGAAGCGCCGGCUAACUAC